GAAUAUUGGACAAUGGGCGAAAGCCUGAUCCAGCCAUGCCGCGUGAGUGAAGAAGGCCUUAGGGUUGUAAAGCUCUUUCAUUGGUGAAGAUAAUGACGGUAGCCAAAGAAGAAGCCCCGGCUAACUCCGUGCCAGCAGCCGCGGUAAUACGGAGGGGGCGAGCGUUGUUCGGAAUUACUGGGCGUAAAGGGGGUCUAGGCGGAUAUGUAAGUUGGGGGUGAAAUCCCGGGGCUCAACCCCGGAACUGCCUCCAAAACUACACAUCUGGAGUUCGAUAGAGGCAGGUGGAAUACCAAGUGUAGAGGUGAAAUUCGUAGAUAUUUGGUGGAACACCAGUGGCGAAGGCGGCCUGCUGGAUUGAUACUGACGCUGAAGCCCGAAAGCGUGGGGAGCAAACAGG
rnacentral:rRNA from 1 species